rnacentral:rRNA from 1 species
UGGGGAAUAUUGGACAAUGGGCGCAAGCCUGAUCCAGCAAUGCCGCGUGUGUGAAGAAGGCCUGCGGGUUGUAAAGCACUUUUGUUCGGGAAGAAAUCAUGCUGGUUAAUACCUGGUAUGGAUGACGGUACCGAAAGAAUAAGCACCGGCUAACUUCGUGCCAGCAGCCGCGGUAAUACGAAGGGUGCAAGCGUUAAUCGGAAUUACUGGGCGUAAAGGGUGCGUAGGCGGCCUUUUAAGUCGGAUGUGAAAUCCCCGGGCUCAACCUGGGAAUGGCAUUCGAUACUGGGAGGCUAGAGUUUGGGAGAGGGUGGUGGAAUUCCCGGUGUAGCGGUGAAAUGCGUAGAGAUCGGGAGGAACAUCAGUGGCGAAGGCGGCCACCUGGCCUAAAACUGACGCUGAGGCACGAAAGCGUGGGGAGCAAACAGG